CGGUAAUUCCAGCUCCAAUAGCGUAUACUAAAGUUGUUGCAGUUAAAAAGCUCGUAGUUGGAUUUCUGCGGGGACGGAGCGGCCGGACGCAACUUGCGUCUCGAGCUAGCGCUUUCCCCGCAUCCUGCCGCGAACCGUGCUACCAUUAGUUUGGUGGCGCCGGGGAUCGGCUCGAUUACUUUGAGAAAAAUAGAGUGUUCAAAGCAGGCCACACGCCUUGAAUAAGUUAGCAUGGAAUAAUGACUAAGGACUUUGGUUCUUUUCGUUGGUGUUCGGGACUGAAGUAAUGAUUGAUAGGGACAGUUGGGGCGGUCCGUAUUCCAAAGCGAGAGGUGAAAUUCUUAGACCUUCGGAAGACGAACAGCUGCGAAAGCGUUCCGCAAGGAUGUUCCCUUUGAUCAAGAACGAAAGUUGGGGGAUCGAAGACGAUCAGAUACCGUCGUAGUCUCAACUAUAAACUAUACCAGCUAGGGAUCGGCCAACGUUUAACUUUAUCGACUUGGUCGGCACCUUAUGAGAAAUCAAAGCAUCUGGGUUCCGGGGGGAGUAUGGUCGCAAGGCUGAAACUUAAAGGAAUUGACGGAAGGGCACCACCAGCCGUGGAGCCUGUGGCUUAAUUUGACUCAACACGGGAAAACUUACCAGGUCCAGACAUAGGAAGGAUUGACAGAUUGAUAGCCCUUUCUUGAUUCUGUGGGUGGUGGUGCAUGGCCGUUUUUAGUCGGUGGAUGUGAUCUGUCUGCUUAAUUGCGUUAACGGACGAGACCCCAGCCUGCUAAAUAGCGCGGCCGAGCUUUGCUCGGUGCGAGCUUCUUAGAGGGACCAUGAUGCGCGAUAGCACAAGGAAGUUUGGGGCAACAACAGGUCUGUGAUGCCCUUAGAUGUUCUGGGCCGCACACGGGCUACACUGGCGCCUGCAACGAGCAUAUCAGCUGGCCCGAGAGGGUCUUGGCUAAUCUUUGGAACCGGCGCCGUGCUUGGGAUUGACCAUUGCAAUUGUUGGUCAUGCAACGAGGAAUGCCUUGUAAACGCGAGUCAUCAGCUCGCAUUGAAUACGUCCCUGCCCUUUGUACACACCGCCCGUCGCUCCUACCGAUGAAUGUUCCGAUGAAAUUUUCGGAGAGCACCAGAGAACGGGGCUCUGCCUUGCAGAACUGGAGGCUCAAAGUCACUUAAAUCUGAACAUUUCGAGGAAGGAGAAGUCGUAACAAGGUAGCCG
rnacentral:rRNA from 1 species